CCACGUGUUCUUCUUCUCUCUUUCUUUUGGGUUCGAUGUUCACCAUUGUUUCUUUUUGUUCUCGUUCUUUCUUUCGAUAGGUAACUUCUCUCUCUUCUUUUUCUAUUUCACGUUUCUGUUUUUGUGUUCUUCUUUAACCAUUGUUGUCCCUGUUUUGUUCGUUUGUAUUCAACGUCAUUGCCCACCGCUUCUCGCCGUCCCUUUCACCGACUCUGCUUUCCUUUUCGUUCCUUUCCCUUCAUUACUUCCUCACCCUUAUGAACACCCAAUCUGCUGCUUCUACACGAUGUCUACUCAGUUAUGCCUCUUCACCGAUCUUUCAACAGUUGCCGUCGAUUGUAUUUGAAGCUUUCCUGAUGACGGACUACUUCCACUUUCCCCUUCUUGCGACAGUCCGCUGGAGAAGAAAAUGAUGAGUUUUGCAAGAAAGGCGGCAGACCAACUAAUUUUUACCCUAUGGCGACCGUCCCCGUCUCCAUCUCCAGCGUUCGGAGGAACAGUCGUUGGCUAUGGAAGAUACCAGUCCGAGGCAAUUGAGGUCACCGAAUUAUGGCUGGAGAUAGCAGGAACAUAGUUAUUUUUCUUCUACAUCGGGUUUUCUGCAACAUCUUCUUUUAUUGUCCAUGGAUAUUUUGUCCAAUUUUAUGUUGCUAACAGUUUAUUUUUGAAUAAAAAUAAUCCUUGCCCCGUAUCUAAAGGAAAUUUUGCAUUCGGUAUUUGUUGAUGCACUUCAUUAAAUAUGUUCUCUUCCUGUAAUUGGCAUACCAGAAGCUUGUCUGUAAAUAUCGACCUUCAUUGGUCUUUCUUUUUUGCUAUUCCUUUGUUCUUAUACGCAUAACCAUCUCAUAAUAAAUGCAUUUGUUUCUAUUUUAGAAUAUGUCUCACAUUGAUUGGAGUUUGCUUUUUAACAUCCCAUUAAUUUGUCUUUCACUCUUUCUGUGUAUGAAAUGGCAGUGGAUACUGAUUUUGUCUCUACCAUCUGUUUUUCAAUAGUGGAAGCUAAGGUUUGAUGUCAACCAUUUGAUCCACUCUAUUCCUGCUCGACCACCACCACUGUAACUUCUAGCUCUCGGUUGUCACCUGAAAGAUCGGUGGUGGCUGGUGGGUGUGUUUAACUAGCUAACCAGAGAUAUCUGAGCUCCGGUCACCGGACAUGUCGACAUGGCAAGAGACCCAUGAAUUUCGUAGUCUAUAGUGGUGACAUAGGGCAUUAAAUUUUAUUAGUUCUUUUUCGCUAAAAUACCUUCAUUAUAUUGGAUUUUGACUUGAUCUUAUGAACCGGUCCAUUGUAGUUAAGCUUAUAUGUGAUGACAAGAGUUGGAACUGAAAAGGAUAUCAAUUUGUACAUUUUGUUUCUGAGGAGUCUGGCACCAAAGAUUGACCAGAAAUGGAUGCUCAGGUAAAAAACAUUAAAAUAAUGUCCCACUAAAAUCAGGUUGACCAUUGCAAAGACAAGAUGAGAAAUCAUCAUGAAAAUUCGCGUGUAUUUUUUUGGUUUUUUUUCAUUAAUGUAUUUUAAUUUAAAAAAUGUGCAUCAUGAAGUUGUUGAAUGAAUCUUAGGGUAUUUAGAGUUCACAUAGAGUUGUUGAAAAUAGAAAGUCGUAAUUCUGAUAGCAGUAGUAAACCCUUUAUGCAAAAGGGCAGUUUUGGUAAUUUGUUUGA